GAGGAAGAGGAGGAGGGGAACACGAAGGUUGCCAGGGGAACUGGACAUGGCAGUUGCCAUGGCGCCAAGCUGAAACAGGAAGUGGCGGCAGCUCUUCAAGCGCUGAGAGACAAACUGCUGGCAGAGCAGAAAGAGGAGGAGGAGGCCACCUGCAGCAGCUGUGUCUCUCAGAGGAAACAUCUGGAACAUCUGGACCUGCAGCAGUUAUCUGAGCAGCAGCUUC